AGGCGGUCCCCUCGCAACGAGAGUUGGUAAACCCCGCCAGGCCCGGAAGGGAGCAACGGUAGUCAAUGCAUCGUGUGCCGGGGUGUGGCUGUUUGGG
rfam:Gamma proteobacterium IMCC3088 ctg_57, whole genome shotgun sequence.